rnacentral:ncRNA from 1 species
UGCCGCGCCGUGCCGGGUAGUAGUAAUGCCCCGAAUGUUACGAUUGAAGUACAUUGACAACACGUAGCGCGGUUUU